rnacentral:rRNA from 1 species
CCCUUAGAUGUCCUGGGCCGCACGCGCGCUACACUGACGGAGCCAGCGAGCUUACCCCUUUGCCGAAAGGCAUGGGAAAUCUUUUGAAUCUCCGUCGUGAUAGGGAUAGAUCAUUGCAAUUAUUGAUCUUGAACGAGGAAUUCCUAGUAAACGCGAGUCAUCAGCUCGCAUUGAUUACGUCCCUGCCCUUUGUACACACCGCCCGUCGCACCUACCGAUUGAAUGUUUCGGUGAAGAUUCCGGAUAGGACUUUUUUGAUUUAUUUCAAUUUUGUCUUAAAAGCUAUCUAAACCUCAACAUUUAGAGGAAGGUGAAGUCGUAACA